rnacentral:rRNA from 1 species
GACGAACGCUGGCGGCGUGCUUAACACAUGCAAGUCGAACGGAAAGGCCCUGCUCUUGUGGGGUGCUCGAGUGGCGAACGGGUGAGUAACACGUGAGUAACCUGUCCUUGACUUUGGGAUAACUUCAGGAAACUGGGGCUAAUAUCGGAUAGGAGCUCCUGCUGCAUGGUGGGGGUUGGAAAGUUUCGGCGGUUGGGGAUGGAAUCGCGGCUUAUCAGCUUGUUGGUGGGGUAGUGGCUGACCAAGGCUUUGACGGGUAGCCGGCCUGGGAGGUUGACCGGCGACAAUGGGACUGAGAGACGGCGCAGACUCCUACGGGAGGCAGCAGGGGGGAAUAUUGCACAAUGGGCGGAAGCCUGAUGUGGCGGCGCCGCGUGCGGGAUGACGGCCUUCGGGUUGAAAACCGCUUUCGCCUGUGACGAAGCGGGAGUGACGGUAAUGGGUAAAGAAGCACCGGCUAACUACGUG